ACUCCUACGGGAGGCAGCAGUGGGGAAUUUUGGACAAUGGGCGAAAGCCUGAUCCAGCAAUGCCGCGUGUGUGAAGAAGGCCUUCGGGUUGUAAAGCACUUUUGUCCGGAAAGAAAUCCUUGGCUCUAAUACAGUCGGGGGAUGACGGUACCGGAAGAAUAAGCACCGGCUAACUACGUGCCAGCAGCCGCGGUAAUACGUAGGGUGCGAGCGUUAAUCGGAAUUACUGGGCGUAAAGCGUGCGCAGGCGGUUUGCUAAGACCGAUGUGAAAUCCCCGGGCUCAACCUGGGAACUGCAUUGGUGACUGGCAGGCUAGAGUAUGGCAGAGGGGGGUAGAAUUCCACGUGUAGCAGUGAAAUGCGUAGAGAUGUGGAGGAAUACCGAUGGCGAAGGCAGCCCCCUGGGCCAAUACUGACGCUCAUGCACGAAAGCGUGGGGAGCAAACAGGAUUAGAAACCCGAGUAGUCCCAUGA
rnacentral:rRNA from 1 species